CUUGAGCUACAGACUCAAAUUGAGCAAAGGGCUCAACCAGACCGGGCAAGUGAAGAGCCCAUGUCACAUCGCGGCUCUACUUCAUUUCAACAUAAGGUGAUGAGGAACAAGUUUGCUGCUGAGGAUGAGGAAGACAGUGAAGAAUAUUGUGCUUCUGAAGAUGAGGAAUUAGAUGAUGAGGAUGAUCAAAUAUUUCAUCAGAUGCAAGGUGCAAACUCACCAAGAUCUACAAGGCACUUUGCUGAAGCUUCACACUCUAAACAUGAUGAUCUUGUUGGAAAAGAUGUCAUAUUAUAUGCUAUGUUGAGAUCUGAUUUGCCUGUGGCUAAAGGGACAAUUGUUUCAACUAAACCAAGCACCACAGUUGGAGGCCAGA